rnacentral:pre_miRNA from 1 species
GGUGUGGGUCUGAAAUUUUGCACACAUUUACAGUAAUUGUAAAUGUGUUGAAAAUCGUUUGCAUGACUGUG